CCUUUCGUCACUAUAAUAGAAAUGCAGAUAGUCUAGCAUCAAAGCACAGUGAGUUGUUUGUAAGUCACUAUAGUGAUCUCAGGUCUAAAGGACACUUAUACCUAUGUAUUUCAUAAGCAGCUCUUGAUAGCAGAAUGCUCAGCAGGUGAGUCACUUGUUCAGUGAUGAUGUACCCCUAUAUCUCACCUGUAUGUCAUACCAGUAUCACCACACUCUUUGG
rnacentral:lncRNA from 1 species